CGCCGGCCCCGCCAGAAACGCGGCCCGGCCCGGCCCGGGGGCGGCGCAGAGCAAAGAAGCUCAGAGGAAGAAGAGCACUGCUUCUUCAGCAGUGCCCCCACCACUGCUCCUCCCAGCUGCUGCAGGCUGACGUGUGGUCCCAGCACAGAUUAGUUUUCAGCCAAAUUGGUUCUGCAGAAAACCAGAAAACCAGC
rnacentral:lncRNA from 1 species